UGGGGAAUAUUGCACAAUGGGCGCAAGCCUGAUGCAGCAACGCCGCGUGAAGGAAGACGGUUUUCGGAUUGUAAACUUCUGUUCUUAGUGAAGAAGAAUGACGGUAGCUAAGGAGCAAGCCACGGCUAACUACGUGCCAGCAGCCGCGGUAAUACGUGGGUGGCAAGCGUUGUCCGGAAUUACUGGGUGUAAAGGGAGCGCAGGCGGGGAAGCAAGUCAGUUGUGAAAUCCAUGGGCUUAACCCGUGAACUGCAGUUGAAACUAUUCUUCUUGAGUGAAGUAGAGGUUGGCGGAAUUCCGAGUGUAGCGGUGAAAUGCGUAGAUAUUCGGAGGAACACCGGUGGCGAAGGCGGCCAACUGGGCUUUUACUGACGCUGAGGCUCGAAAGUGUGGGGAGCAAACAGGAUUAGAUACCC
rnacentral:rRNA from 1 species